rnacentral:rRNA from 1 species
UCCUACGGGAGGCGAGCAGGUAGGGGUAAGUUUUGGACAAUGGGCGCAAGCCUGAUCCAGCAAUGCCGCGUGAGUGAAGAAGGCCUUCGGGUUGUAAAGCUCUUUUGUCAGGGAAGAAACGGUUUGGGCUAAUACCCGUUUCACUUGACGGUACCCUCAAAGGAAGCACCGGCUAACUACGUGCCAGCAGCCGCGGUA